UGGCUGUUCAGUGCUUUUUCACUGAUGAAAAUGGCCUGUGUGUGCAAUAGGAAAAACUGGAGGCGAUGGAUCCGACCCCUGGUCAUACUCAUUUAUAUUGUAAGCAUGCUGAUCUUUGUUACCUUUGGUGUUUCGAAGUUUCACCAACAGGAGAAGGAAGAGGAGGAGGAGGGUUCUUUUGUCAGGCUGUCCUGGAGCUCACAGAGACCUUCUGCCUCCCAAGUUACUGGGACUAAAGGUGUGUGCUACCACACUCUGUAACACCCUCUUCUGACCUCAGCAGGUACCCACACUCACACAUGCGCAUAUUCACACAGACACAUACAUAGAAUUUACUAAAAAGUAAAUCUUUUUUUAAUUGCUACUAAUUAUUUGGGAAAUACAAAGCAGUAUUAGUAAUCUAAUGAAAAUUUAAGACAAAAAUAUUGAUCUUUAUAGUUUUAAUAUCAGAAUCUAAACCAAUGUGUUCUUUUGUUUUUCAAGGUUGGAGUACACACUAAAGCGUGGUUUAUUGCUGGUAUCUUCAUGCUGGUGACGGUACAAGUGUCCUUCUGGGGGAUUCUGCAACACUUGGUGCAUUUCACACAACCCAAACUUCAAAAACCUAUUAUGAGGAUUCUUUGGAUGGUUCCAGUAUACAGUUUAGGUAGUUGGUUGGCCUUAAAAUUCCCCAAAGUUGGAAUAUAUGCCGAUACCUGUAGAGACUGCUAUGAAGCUUACACCAUUUAUAACUUUAUGAUCUUCCUUACCAAUAAUUUAACAAUUCGGAUCCCGAAUAUAAUGUUAUACCUGGAAGCAAAGGAUCAGCAACAGCAUCUCUUUCCACUCUGCUGGUGUCCACCAUUGGCGAUGGGAGAGUAAGUGUGUUUGGUUUUGAUGGGCCUCUGUGUGGGUCUUAAAUAUCAGUCAGCUCUCUGCAAGGGGUGGGGACAGUAGGCAGAGCCCUUACACUAUGUAGCACGUAAUACAGUUUGAAAGAUAAUAAAAUACAUUUUUACAAUGUACAUGUUGAGAGGUUUUUUUUGUUUUUUGUUUUUUUGUUUUUAUUUUUACAUUGCUUACCCCAAUAGAAAAGUUCAUCAAUGUAAUGAGGGAGAAAACCUUAGAAAAUGUUUAAUCAGCAUCAUUUUUACAGUUGGGAAUUGGAGCCUAAAUGAUCAUGCACGUGAUCACGCAGCUAAUUGUCUUGUACUUGUCUCCCUGCUGAGACAAAGUCACUGACAAAAGCAACUU